rnacentral:tRNA from 1 species
GGAAAUGUAGCUCAGUGGUAGAGUACUUGCUUAGCAUAUAGGAGGCCCUGGGUUCAAUCCCCAGUACUG